rnacentral:rRNA from 1 species
UACGUUCCCGGGCCUUGUACACACCGCCCGUCACACCACGAAAGUCGGCAACACCCGAAGCCAGUGGCCCAACCGUAAGGGGGGAGCUGUCGAAGGUGGGGUCGGUGAUUGGGGUG